GUGGGGAAUAUUGGGCAAUGGGCGAAAGCCUGACCCAGCAACGCCGCGUGAAGGAAGAAGGUCUUCGGAUCGUAAACUUCUAUCCUUGGUGAAGAUAAUGACGGUAGCCGAGAAGGAAGCCCCGGCUAACUACGUGCCAGCAGCCGCGGUAAUACGUAGGGGGCAAGCGUUGUCCGGAAUGAUUGGGCGUAAAGGGCGCGUAGGUGGCCUGGUAAGUCUGGAGUGAAAGUCCUGCUUUUAAGGUGGGAAUUGCUUUGGAUACUGUCGGGCUUGAGUGCAGGAGAGGUAAGUGGAAUUCCCGGUGUAGCGGUGAAAUGCGUAGAGAUCGGGAGGAACACCAGUGGCGAAGGCGACUUACUGGACUGUAACUGACGCUGAGGCUCGAAAGCCAGGGGAGCGAACGGGAUUAGAAACCCCGGUAGUCC
rnacentral:rRNA from 1 species